AAUGCAAUCGAUGAACACAUCCGUCAUACUCCGCCAUUUGCGAAAGAAAGGUCGAUCGCUGCUCUGCAGCGCAAGUGUCAUCGGUUCGACUAUGUCGAGUGUUUGAAAAAAAUAUUUAUUUUUUGGAAAACUGUGAACUCAGUGCUGUCAUUUAAACAGUUAAAAUGAUUGUGAGAUAUUUGGUCUUUCUGUGCUUUGGAGUUUUGGUGGCUUCGGCACACAAUGACGAGGGAAACAACGACAAUGAAGAUAAUACGGUGCGAUUGGUGUAAGAAACUGGUCGUGUAGGUGUGAGGCGAACCGGCCUGACCACUUCUGAUGCACACACGGCUACCUUCCCUCAGGUGGGCGUGCGCGAGAUUUGCAGUUGAUUCACGAUCGUAGUUUUACAGAAUUGCAUACACGUUUAAACAACCACCAAAUAAUUUUAUUAUAUUGUACUUUACAAUCUUUAAAGUUGGUAAAAGGUAUUGAUACAUUGCAAUGUAUUGUAAUACAUGUUUAUGUACUUUCUUUGUAAUACAUGUAUUUCAAUGU